AACAGGGAUUGCCUCAGUAACGGCGAGUGAAGCGGCAACAGCUCAAAUUUGAAAUCUGGCCCCCCUCGGGGUCCGAGUUGUAAUUUGGAGAGGGUGCUUCGGCUUGGCCGCCGGUCUAAGUUCCUUGGAACAGGGCGUCGCAGAGGGUGAGAAUCCCGUACGUGCCCGGUCGGCCCCGCCGUGUGAAGCCCCUUCGACGAGUCGAGUUGUUUGGGAAUGCAGCUCUAAACGGGAGGUAAAUUUCUCCUAAAGCUAAAUACCGGCCAGAGACCGAUAGCGCACAAGUAGAGUGAUCGAAAGAUGAAAAGCACUUUGGAAAGAGAGUUAAAAAGUACGUGAAAUUGUUGAAAGGGAAGCGCUCGCGACCAGAACCGAACGCGGACGUCCGUCCGGGCCUCGCGCCCGGCUUGUCCGCCCGCGUUCGGGCCAGCAUCGGUUUGGGCGGCCGUACAAAGGCCGCGGGAACGUGGCUCCCCUCGGGGAGUGUUAUAGCCCGCGGUGCAAUGCGGCCAGCCCGGACCGAGGCCCGCGCUUCUGCUAGGAUGCUGGCGUAAUGGUCGUGAGCGGCCCGUCUUGAAACACGGACCAAGGAGUCUAACAUCUGUGCGAGUGUUUGGGCGUCAAACCCACGCGCGUAAUGAAAGUGAACGGAGGCGGGAGCCCUCGGGCGCACCGCCGACCGAUCCUGAUGUCUUCGGAUGGAUUUGAGUAAGAGCACAGCUGUUGGGACCCGAAAGAUGGUGAACUAUGCCUGAACAGGGUGAAGCCAGAUGAAACUCUGGUGGACGCUCGCAGCGGUUCUGACGUGCAAAUCGAUCGUCAAAUUUGGGCAUAAGGGGCGGAAGGACUAAUCGAACCAUCUAGUAGUGGUUUCUGGC
rnacentral:rRNA from 1 species